rnacentral:rRNA from 1 species
UUAAGUUAUUAAGGGCGCACGGUGGAUGCCUUGGCACUAGAAGCCGAUGAAGGACGUUACUAACGACGAUAUGCUUUGGGGAGCUGUAAGUAAGCUUUGAUCCAGAGAUUUCCGAAUGGGGAAACCCAGCAUGAGUUAUGUCAUGUUAUCGAUAUGUGAAUACAUAGCAUAUCAGAAGGCACACCCGGAGAACUGAAACAUCUUAGUACCCGGAGGAAGAGAAAGAAAAUUCGAUUCCCUUAGUAGCGGCGAGCGAAACGGGAAGAGCCCAAACCAACAAGCUUGCUUGUUGGGGUUGUAGGACACUCUAUACGGAGUUACAAAGGACGACAUUAGACGAAUCAUCUGGAAAGAUGAAUCAAAGAAGGUAAUAAUCCUGUAGUCGAAAAUGUUGUCUCUCUUGAGUGGAUCCUGAGUACGACGGAGCACGUGAAAUUCCGUCGGAAUCUGGGAGGACCAUCUCCUAAGGCUAAAUACUCUCUAGUGACCGAUAGUGAACCAGUACCGUGAGGGAAAGGUGAAAAGCACCCCGGAAGGGGAGUGAAAUAGAACCUGAAACCGUGUGCUUACAAGUAGUCAGAGCCCGUUAAUGGGUGAUGGCGUGCCUUUUGUAGAAUGAACCGGCGAGUUACGAUUUGAUGCAAGGUUAAGCAGUAAAUGUGGAGCCGUAGCGAAAGCGAGUCUGAAUAGGGCGUUUAGUAUUUGGUCGUAGACCCGAAACCAGGUGAUCUACCCUUGGUCAGGUUGAAGUUCAGGUAACACUGAAUGGAGGACCGAACCGACUUACGUUGAAAAGUGAGCGGAUGAACUGAGGGUAGCGGAGAAAUUCCAAUCGAACCUGGAGAUAGCUGGUUCUCUCCGAAAUAGCUUUAGGGCUAGCCUCAAGUGAUGAUUAUUGGAGGUAGAGCACUGUUUGGACGAGGGGCCCCUCUCGGGUUACCGAAUUCAGACAAACUCCGAAUGCCAAUUAAUUUAACUUGGGAGUCAGAACAUGGGUGAUAAGGUCCGUGUUCGAAAGGGAAACAGCCCAGACCACCAGCUAAGGUCCCAAAAUAUAUGUUAAGUGGAAAAGGAUGUGGCGUUGCCCAGACAACUAGGAUGUUGGCUUAGAAGCAGCCAUCAUUUAAAGAGUGCGUAAUAGCUCACUAGUCGAGUGACACUGCGCCGAAAAUGUACCGGGGCUAAACAUAUUACCGAAGCUGUGGAUUGUCCUUUGGACAAUGGUAGGAGAGCGUUCUAAGGGCGUUGAAGCAUGAUCGUAAGGACAUGUGGAGCGCUUAGAAGUGAGAAUGCCGGUGUGAGUAGCGAAAGACGGGUGAGAAUCCCGUCCACCGAUUGACUAAGGUUUCCAGAGGAAGGCUCGUCCGCUCUGGGUUAGUCGGGUCCUAAGCUGAGGCCGACAGGCGUAGGCGAUGGAUAACAGGUUGAUAUUCCUGUACCACCUAUAAUCGUUUUAAUCGAUGGGGGGACGCAGUAGGAUAGGCGAAGCGUGCGAUUGGAUUGCACGUCUAAGCAGUAAGGCUGAGUAUUAGGCAAAUCCGA